AACAAACGCUGGCGGCGUGCCUAAUACAUGCAAGUCGAACGGGGUAGCAAUACCUAGUGGCGCACGGGUGAGUAACGCGUGGAUAAUCUGCCUUAGAGUGGGGGAUACUAGUCGAAAGAUUAGCUAAUACCGCAUAAGACCACAAGAGCUGCGGCUCAAGGGGUCAAAGGUUUUUCGCUCUAAGAUGAGUCCGCGUAAGAUUAGCUAGUUGGUGAGGUAAUGGCUCACCAAGGCGACGAUCUUUAACUGGUCUGAGAGGAUGAUCAGUCACACUGGAACUGAGACACGGUCCAGACUCCUACGGGAGGCAGCAGUAGGGAAUAUUGCACAAUGGAGGAAACUCUGAUGCAGCGACGCCGCGUGAGUGAUGAAGGCCUUCGGGUCGUAAAGCUCUGUCGCAGGGGAAUAACACAAUGAAUGUACCCUGUAAGAAAGGAUCGGCUAACUUCGUG
rnacentral:rRNA from 1 species